UCUGGCAGCUAGCUCUCUGCAACUCUCACAUGGUCGGCCACUGAAGCUAAGCAAGGCUGUGCCUGGUCAGUACCUGGAUGGGAGACCACAUGGGAAAGCUAGGUUGCAGCUGGAA
rfam:Danio rerio chromosome 9, GRCz11 reference primary assembly.